rnacentral:rRNA from 1 species
GAUGAACGCUGGCGGCGUGCUUAACACAUGCAAGUCGAACGGUGAAGGCGGAGCUUGCUCUGCUGGAUCAGUGGCGAACGGGUGAGUAACACGUGAGCAAUCUGCCCCUGACUCUGGGAUAAGCGCUGGAAACGGCGUCUAAUACUGGAUACGAGCUGCGAAGGCAUCUUCAGCAGCUGGAAAGAACUUCGGUCAGGGAUGAGCUCGCGGCCUAUCAGCUUGUUGGUGAGGUAACGGCUCACCAAGGCGUCGACGGGUAGCCGGCCUGAGAGGGUGACCGGCCACAAUAGGACUGAGACACGGCCCAGACUCCUACGGGGGGCAGCAGUGGGGAAUAUUGCACAAUGGGCGAAAGCCUGAUGCAGCAACGCCGCGUGAGGGACGACGGCCUUCGGGUUGUAAACCUCUUUUAGCAGGGAAGAAGCGAAAGUGACGGUACCUGCAGAAAAAGCGCCGGCUAACUACGUG